AGCGAACGCUGGCGGCAGGCCUAACACAUGCAAGUUGCACGACCUCUUCGGAGUUAGUGGCGGACGGGUGAGUAACACGUGGGAACGUCCCUUUAGGUUCGGACUAAUUCAGGGAAACUUGUGCUAAUACCGAAUGUGCCCUUCGGGGGCAAGAUUUAUCUCCUUUAGAGCGGCCCGCGUCUGAUUAGCUAGUUGGUAGUGUAAUGGACUACCAAGACGACGAUCCGUAGCUGGUCUGAGAGGAUGAUCAGCCACAUUUGGAGUGAGACACGGCCCAAACUCCUACGGGAGGCAGCAGUGGGGAAUCUUGCGCAAUGGGCGAAAGCCUGACGCAGCCAUGCCGCGUGAAUGAUGAAGGUCUUAGGAUUGUAAAAUUCUUUCACCGGGGACGAUAAUGACGGUACCCGGAGAAGAAGCUCCGGCUAACUUCGUGCCAGCCGCCGCCGUAAUAC
rnacentral:rRNA from 1 species